GAUGAAGAACGUAGUGAAAUGCGAUACUUGGUGUGAAUUGCAGAAUCCCGUGAACCAUCGAGUCUUUGAACGCAAGUUGCGCCCGAAGCCAUCAGGUUGAGGGCACGUCUGCCUGGGCGUCACAUAUCGUUGCCCAAUGCCUAUUGCAGUGCAAUAGGAAUUUCUAGGGCGAAUGAUGGCUUCCCGUGAGCGUUGUUGCCUCGCGGUUGGUUGAAAAUCGAGUCCUUGGUAGGGUGUGCCAUGGUAGAUGGUGGUCGAGUUAGAACGAUACCGAUCAUGUGCAUGCUCCCCAAAAUAUGGCCUCUAUGACCCACACGCGUCUUUUGACGCUCAUGACGAGAACUCAGGUCAGGCGGGGCUACCCGCUGAAUUUAAGCAUAUCAAUAAGCGGAGGA
rnacentral:misc_RNA from 1 species